CUACGUGCCAGCAGCCGCGGUAAUACGUAUGUCGCAAGCGUUAUCCGGAAUUAUUGGGCAUAAAGGGCAUCUAGGCGGCCAGAUAAGUCUGGGGUGAAAACUUGCGGCUCAACCGCAAGCCUGCCCUGGAAACUAUGUGGCUAGAGUACUGGAGAGGUGGACGGAACUGCACGAGUAGAGGUGAAAUUCGUAGAUAUGUGCAGGAAUGCCGAUGAUGAAGAUAGUUCACUGGACAGUAACUGACGCUGAAGUGCGAAAGCUAGGGGAGCAAACAGGAUUAGAUACCCUGGUAGUCCUAGCUGUAAACGAUGAUUACUGGGUGUGGGCAUGAAGAGUGUCCGUGCCGAAGCUAAUGCGAUAAGUAAUCCGCCUGGGGAGUACGGCCGCAAGGCUGAAACUCAAAGGAAUUGACGGGGACCCGCACAAGCGGUGGAGCAUGUGGUUUAAUUCGACGCAACGCGAGGAACCUUACCAGAUCUUGACAUCCUG
rnacentral:rRNA from 1 species